rnacentral:rRNA from 1 species
GACAGAGGAUGCAAGCGUUAUCCGGAAUGAUUGGGCGUAAAGCGUCUGUAGGUGGCUUUUAAGUCCGCCGUCAAAUCCCAGGGCUCAACCCUGGACAGGCGGUGGAAACUACCAAGCUGGAGUACGGUAGGGGCAGAGGGAAUUUCCGGUGGAGCGGUGAAAUGCGUAGAGAUCGGAAAGAACACCAAUGGCGAAGGCAAUGUUCUGGCUCGUUUCUGACGCUGAGGCACGAAAGCGUGGGGAGCAAACAGG